GGCGGAUAUCUUUCAAAAAAUGGGGUGGAGCUUCAGCCAUGGAAUAACAUGAAAAUGAAUAUGUUGUACCAUAGCUAAGCUCCGCCUUCUUUCCUUUGGAUUCUAGUUGAGCUGCAUAUUUAAUUAGCAAAGUAUGGUACAACAUAAAUUUGCAUAUAAUAUACCAUGGUUUUCCCUAAACACACUUUUUAAGCAAAUUAUUG
rnacentral:lncRNA from 1 species